UCCUGUCAGUUUCUGCUUCAUGUGUUUGGUGCUCUGCUGUUAGGUGCACACAAACCUAAGAUACUUCUCGUUUCCUGCUGAGUUGACCUUUCGUUAUUCUGUACUAUUUUUCAUCCCUGGAAAUUCUCCUUGCUCUGAAGUCUGCUCUCUCUCAUGUUAACUGAACCUUCGAGCUGUCUUUGAAUUAGUGUUUGUGUGGUGUCAUCAUUCAUUUCAUGAAUCAAUUUGGCUGGGCCGCAGUGCCAAGAGUUGUGGUCAAGUAUUAUUCUGGAUGUUUCUAGGAGGAGACUUUGGAUGAGAUACACUUAAAUGGAUGAACUUUGAGUAAAGCAGACUGCCCUCCACAAUGUGGGUGGGCCCCUCCAAUCAGUUGAAGGCUGAGCAGGAGCAACGACUGACCUCCCCUGAGCAAGAAAGAAUUCUACAGCAGAUGGCCAUUGGACUAGAACUAUAGCACUGACUCUUCCUUGUGUCUCCUCCUGACGACCCUGGACUUGAAACCCAGCAGCAGAUCUUCCCUGCUUCUCAGCCUGGCUCACCCGCCCUGCAGGCUCUAGACUCACCAGGCUCUAUAAUAAUAAGUUUCUGAAGAAAAUGCUGUUUACAACAGUAAAAGGCCGGCUGGAAAGGAGAGAAAGGUUGAUAGACACUGACACGCAUGUGCCCAGUGGCCGUGGUCCAGCUGCAGCAUGGCUCUUCAUUUGCCGCACAGCCAGAGAUGACCUACUCAGAGCUGCCCACGUGGUUCUGCCAAGAGAAGCUCCAGGGUCUCCUGUGUCAGACUCGCUCAGUGUGCAUCCAGCCAUGGGAACUCAGCUGUGCUGUGGUCAUAGCUGCUAGGAUCAUGUCUCACUCCGUCUGCCCUCAUGCUGAUCUCCCAUCAGGGAUUCCAUCACGUCAAUGGGACCAAGUGAGAAGGAAGUAGCAGAUUGUGCAGGGAGCUACAAGGACUCCUCCAAGAAGAUGUGAUGAGACACAGAAGAUGUUAUUCACCAAGAUUCCAGAGGUUGAGGAGGCAGACCGGCCAGAGGAGGAUACGGGACGAGCAUUCGGAGCGGAGAGCCUGGACUCCCCUUUGAGGGAGGUCACUCGUUGGGAGAGAAUGUCUUGGUUAGGAGGUGCACAGUGAGGGGUGCCGAACAGGUGGUCAGGCUGCGCGGGCAGCCCCCUUAGGGAAGCCUCCAGAUGCCAGAUGGAGUCACCGGCUAGCCAGGCGAUUCACUCAAGUGGAGCAUUCUGGAGGGAUGCCAAGGGGCCAGAUCUGAAACCCUGUCGGGGUUCCUAAUGGAGAAGGCAAGGAGGGAACUAGGAGGACGCAGACCUCAGGUGUUACUGAAGCCUGAGGUUGGCGUGUUCAUCACGGGGCUGUGAAAGUGAGAUUCAGGCCGCGUUUAAUGACGUUCCCAUCUGGUUCCAUACGGAUUGCAUUCCAAGAGCUGCUGGAGCAGAUGAACUCCGGGUCGCUGGGUUUUCAGUGACAAGUGUGUCAUCCAUCGGUGGUGCAUGGGGUUUUAUGUCGGGUGGGCGCCCAGAAGGCGUCUCCCCGUUCAGGCUGGGUGAGUCAGCCGCAGCAGGAAUCAGCCUCGCCUUCAGCGGGGACUGCGCUGAUGGUCCUCCUCCUCUGAGCCAUGGCCACCCCUCCCCCUGCGACACGAGCCCAGACAGGGCCCCUCACCGAGAACGCUGUACGGAAAUUGAAGUGGCGACUUCCCAGAACAUUCUGAACAACCGCUUCUCUGUCUCUCUCCUCCCGCAGCCCUCGUGACUAGCAAGCAACCCCCUUGGACUUUCUUGGUUUGAAUUGUACUCUGUCCGGAAGAAAACUCGAUUUGUCCCUCAGACUCCAUGUCACAGGAGCUGUCUGCUUCGGCUCACUCAGCGUCUCACUCGUCUCCGGUUCUGAAUACUCUCCGCAAGCCAAGUCCAGUGUGGACCGUUCGGAUGGGGGUGAGGGACGGCAGGGAUCGGAGAGAAUGGAAGAGUCUUUUCCCUGGACAAAUUCCUUUUCCUCAAAGCCAACAAGCUGACCUGUAAGAAGAUGCUCGAGUUCACUAGUGAUGUUAUGGAACCUGGGCUGGAUCGCCCGACGGAAGAACGAAGCGGCACCCGGAGCUCUUGGAGGACAGGAGGUGUAUUGAACGCCGGCGGGCUCAGAGGAGAGUGGUCUCCAAAGGUCUGAGCCCCGAGCACAAAGGGGGCAAUUUAUACACUUCUACUUCUGCCUACUUGGCACUUUAGGCACGUGCGCGAAGCGGGGCAGGGAGAAGAACCCGGAAGAGCCCCGGGGCAGGGGCUGGACUCGCUCGCUGGCUCGGUCGGCCAUCUCAGGACACAGAUUUUCCUUAGCAGUGAUCGGGAAAAUAAGAAGUGAAACCAAUGCCAUCUUCAUCUCUCAACCUGACAAUCAGGAGAAUGAGGUCCAGCCCCGGCGAGGCUGUGGAAAAUGGGGACUCGCCUACACCGUUGGUGGGUGUGACAGUGUCGGAACGAGGGACAGUGUAUGAUGUCGUAAACGUACUGUGCCCUUUGAGCUUGAAAUUCUACCUGCUGGAAUAUAUUGCAGCAGGAGCAAAGCCUCAUCGAUGCUCUAAGAGACAUGUUUGUGGAUGCUAUGGCUGGAACUGCUAAUGGCCUUUCUGCUGUCUAGUCUUUCCAUUUCUAACUACGUAUUUGGUGGUAAUUAUGUCAGUUAUGAAAGUGACAUGUCCCAGACCUUUGUAGGACAAGGAGGGCUACUGAAAUACAAGCAAGAAUUCAUCGGAUGGAACUUGAGGAAAGCCCUCUCACCCUUCCCCUCUUUUCUCCUUUGUGGCGUCUGGACCUGAUGGCUAGAGUCACAGCAGCCACUUUGUGACCUUGAGGAUGGACGCCACACACUAAGGAACAGAAAAAUACAAGAAGCCCGGGGCCUCAAUGCCUCAUAGAGUUAUCAUUCCUACCCUGAACUGUUUGCCUGCAGAUUUGUCCUGAACACAAGAGAAAAACAAGCCCAUGGUUUGUCUAGGUCACCAUGAUUGCAUCUGUCACCGGCAGCCAGUAUACAGGAGCCACUGCUGUUCGUGGUUUCAUGUUCCGUGGUCAACCACAGUCAGGAAGUAGAUGAUCCUCCUCCUGACGCACGCUCAGAGGGUCAGGAGUAGCCUAAUGCUACGUCUCAGUGCCGACAGCCCUGCCCUCGCAUCCCUCAUCACACGGACAUUUUAUCACCUCACAUCCUCAUAUGAAGGAGGAGGGUGGGUGCAGAACAGGAAGAUAUUUUGAGAGAGAGACCACAUCCACAUAGCUUUUAUACAGCACAUUGUUAGGACUGUUCUAUUUUUAUUAGUACUAUUGUUAAUCUUGAACUGUGCCUAAUCUGUAAAUUAAUCGUUAUCACAGGUCUGUGUGUACAGGAAAACACAUAGUGUCUAUAGGGUUCGGUACUCUCUGUGCUUUCAGGCGUCACUGGGGGUCUAGGAGCGUGUCUCCUGGGGAGAAAGGGGGACUUCUGUAUUCCUCACGGACACAGAUAUUGGUGGGAACCUUGUCUUAAAAUAGAGGAAUAAUGUAGGCGGUCUAAAGGUCCCUAGCUUCCCCUUUCCUGAGGUUUUCCUGAUCCGAGCCCCAUCUCCGUCGGCAAGACCCUGACCCUCAACCUCUUUCUCAUAGC